rnacentral:lncRNA from 1 species
CAGAUACACAUGCCUGUGACUUCAAAGAGGUUCUAACCCCCUUUCAAAAAAAACACAUUCGCACCCAUUUCCCCUGAAAGAGAAAUGAAAAGUCUCCUAGGAAAUCAUCUCCCAACAGCCUUUUCUGACUUGUAUCUCCUCCAUUUGUUCUCAAAUUCUGCUACCCAGAUGGAAAAGAGGGAAAUCGAGAAGAAGCCUGGACAACCUUUAUUUCUGACCAUUUCUGUGAUAUGAGGCUCAACAGUAUUUGGCAACAAACCUAUCCAAAAGAGAAAUGUGAAAGGUGAAAACAAGGAAGCCCAUGACAGAAAAGCCUAAAAAAAUAAGAAAAACAAAACAAACCAAUAUAAGUGGACUGCAAGGAAGAAAAACUGUCCAUCAUCCAGGGGAGGGUCAAUUAAUCAGUGUAAGAACACAUGCAAAGUGUGAAACAAUGAUGGUAGCAGCUCAAGAUCAAAAUGCAUUGUCUCCAGAAUUUUAAAAAGGACAACCUAGAGACAUAUACCCAGACAAAGUAUUCAUGAGCUAAAUAACUAGCAUAGACAGACAG